AGACGGGUGAGUAACGCGUGGGAACGUACCCCCCCGGUUCGGAAUAACUCAGGGAAACUUGAGCUAAUACCGGAUACGGUCGAGAGGCGAAAGAUUUAUCGCCGGGGGAUCGGCCCGCGUCCGAUUAGCUAGUUGGUGUGGUAAUGGCGCACCAAGGCGACGAUCGGUAGCUGGUCUGAGAGGAUGAUCAGCCACAUUGGGACUGAGACACGGCCCAAACUCCUACGGGAGGCAGCAGUGGGGAAUAUUGGACAAUGGGCGCAAGCCUGAUCCAGCCAUGCCGCGUGAGUGAUGAAGGCCUUAGGGUUGUAAAGCUCUUUCACCCACGACGAUAAUGACGGUAGUGGGAGAAGAAGCCCCGGCUAACUUCGUGCCAGCAGCCGCGGUAAUACGAAGGGGGCUAGCGUUGUUCGGAAUUACUGGGCGUAAAGCGCGUGUAGGCGGGUCCUUAAGUCAGGGGUGAAAUGCCAAGGCUCAACCUUGGAACUGCCUUUGAUACUGGGGAUCUUGAGUCCGGGAGAGGUGAGUGGAACUGCGAGUGUAGAGGUGAAAUUCGUAGAUAUUCGCAAGAACACCAGUGGCGAAGGCGGCUCACUGGCCCGGAACUGACGCUGAGACGCGAAAGCGUGGGGAGCAAACAGGAUUAGAUACCCUGGUAGUCCACGCUGUAAACGAUGGAUGCUAGCCGUUGGGGAGCUUGCUCUUCAGUGGCGCAGCUAACGCCUUAAGCAUCCCGCC
rnacentral:rRNA from 1 species